rnacentral:sRNA from 1 species
UCAUAGCCCUGAUGGAAGCGGCAUCCUUUUUCUGGCUUCUUUAGCCAGGAAAAGAUAUAGCGGACAGCAGGAUUAGCU